rnacentral:tRNA from 1 species
ACCUUCGUGGUGUAACGGUUAGUACACUCGGCGCGUAUCCCAGAGAUCCAGGUUCGAAUCCCGGCGAGGGCA